UCUACGGGAGGCAGCAGUGGGGAAUAUUGCGCAAUGGGCGAAAGCCUGACGCAGCGACGCCGCGUGAGGGAUGAAGGUUUUCGGAUCGUAAACCUCUGUCAGAAGGGAAGAAGUUGCAUGGGGCCAAUCACCUGUGCAUUGACGGUACCUUCAAAGGAAGCACCGGCUAACUCCGUGCCAGCAGCCGCGGUAAUACGGGGGGUGCGAGCGUUAAUCGGAAUUACGGGGCGUAAAGCGCACGUAGGCUGUAUGUCAAGUCAAGGGUGAAAUGCCACGGCUCAACCGUGGAACUGCCUUUGAAACUGGCAGACUGGAGUAUGUGAGAGGGUGGCGGAAUGCCUGGUGUAGGAGUGAAAUCCGUAGAUAUCAGGAGGAACAUCAGUGGCGAAGGCGGCUAUCUGGCACAUAACUGACGCUGAGGAGCGAAAGCGUGGGUAGCAAACAGGAUUAGAUACCCCUGUAGUC
rnacentral:rRNA from 1 species